UACGUAGGGUGCAAGCGUUAAUCGGAAUUACUGGGCGUAAAGCGUGCGCAGGCGGCUUUGCAAGACAGAUGUGAAAUCCCCGGGCUUAACCUGGGAACUGCAUUUGUGACUGCAUGGCUCGAGUGCGGCAGAGGGGGAUGGAAUUCCGCGUGUAGCAGUGAAAUGCGUAGAUAUGCGGAGGAACACCGAUGGCGAAGGCAAUCCCCUGGGCCUGCACUGACGCUCAUGCACGAAAGCGUGGGGAGCAAACAGG
rnacentral:rRNA from 1 species